ACGUAGGGGGCAAGCGUUGUUCGGAAUUACUGGGCGUAAAGGGCGCGUAGGCGGCACGGUAAGUCAGUUGUGAAAGCCCCGGGCUCAACCCGGGAAGUGCUUCUGAUACUGCAUGACUUGAGUACUGGAGAGGAUAGUGGAAUUCCAGGUGUAGUGGUGAAAUACGUAGAUAUCUGGAGGAAUACCGGUGGCGAAGGCGGCUAUCUGGCCAUGUACUGACGCUGAGAUACGAAAGCGUGGGGAGCAAACAGGA
rnacentral:rRNA from 1 species